GCCUGCCCAGUGACUAUAUGUUUAACGGCCGCGGUAUUCUGACCGUGCAAAGGUAGCGUAAUCACUUGUCUUUUAAAUAAAGACUAGUAUGAAUGGCAUCACGAGAACUAAUCUGUCUCCCUCCCCUAAUCAGUGAAACUGAUCCCCCCGUGCAAAAGCGGGGAUAGCACCAUAAGACGAGAAGACCCUGUGGAGCUUAAAGUCAAAAAUCAACUGUUCCACCCACUUAAACUAAAAAACAUUUUUACAGACCUGAUUUAGACUUUCAGCUGGGGCGUCUAUGGAGUAAAGAAAACCCUCCAUGAAUACUCAUGCUAAAAGCUACCGCCGUAGGCAUUAAUAAACUUAACUUAAAUUGACCCAAUUUUUUGAUCAACGGACCAAGUUACCCCAGGGAUAACAGCGCUAUCCACUUUCAGAGUCCAUAUCGACAAGUGGGCUUACGACCUCGAUGUUGGAUUAGGACACCCCAGUGGUGCAGCCGCUACUAAAGGUUCGUUUGUUCAACGAUUAAAGUCCUACGUGAUCUG
rnacentral:rRNA from 1 species